UGUUGAUUCAUUUAGACAGCAGGACGGUGGCCAUGGAAGUUGGAACCCGCUAAGGACUGUGUAACAACUCACCUGCCGAAUGAACUAGCCCUGAAAAUGGAUGGCGCUGAAGCGAGUCACCUAUCCUCAACCACUGCUGCAAGUGCUGUGCAGCAGUGAGUAGGAGGGCGUGAUGAUUGUUGUGCAGCUCGCGGCGUGAGCCGGAGUGAAACGGUCAUUAGUGCAGAUCUUGGUGGUAGUAGCAAAUAUUCAAAUGAGAACUUUGAAGGCCGAAGAGG
rnacentral:rRNA from 1 species